rnacentral:rRNA from 1 species
AAGUCUGGUGCCAGCAGCCGCGGUAAUUCCAGCUCCAAUAGCGUAUAUUAAAAUUGUUGCGGUUAAAACGCUCGUAGUUGGAUAUCUGUGAGCGGGUUUCGGUCCUUCCCAGUGAAGAUUACACGGAACUCUGCUCGCAUUUGUUCAGGGAGGGUGGAUGCACUUCACUGUGUGACCACAUGAUCUGAAUUUUUACUUUGAGGAAAUGAGAGUGUUCCAAGCAGGCAAUCGCCGUGAAUAUGAUAGCAUGGAAUAAUAGCACAGGACUCUUGGUUCAAUGCUGUUGGUUUGUUGAACUAGAGUAACCACAAUA